rnacentral:rRNA from 1 species
AGCGGCGGACGGGUGAGUAAUGCCUGGGAAAUUGCCCUGAUGUGGGGGAUAACCAUUGGAAACGAUGGCUAAUACCGCAUAAUAGCUUCGGCUCAAAGAGGGGGACCUUCGGGCCUCUCGCGUCAGGAUAUGCCCAGGUGGGAUUAGCUAGUUGGUGAGGUAAUGGCUCACCAAGGCGACGAUCCCUAGCUGGUCUGAGAGGAUGAUCAGCCACACUGGAACUGAGACACGGUCCAGACUCCUACGGGAGGCAGCAGUGGGGAAUAUUGCACAAUGGGCGCAAGCCUGAUGCAGCCAUGCCGCGUGUAUGAAGAAGGCCUUCGGGUUGUAAAGUACUUUCAGCAGUGAGGAAGGCAGGUACGUUAAUAGCGUGCUUGUUUGACGUUAGCUGCAGAAGAAGCACCGGCUAACUCCGUGCCAGCAGCCGCGGUAAUACGGAGGGUGCGAGCGUUAAUCGGAAUUACUGGGCGUAAAGCGCAUGCAGGUGGUUUGUUAAGUCAGAUGUGAAAGCCCGGGGCUCAACCUCGGAAUUGCAUUUGAAACUGGCAGA